GAACUGUGGGAGCUCCAGGAGGAGGAUAGGAUCAGUAACAUGAAAGUUGAACGGGAGAAAGCUCUGGAGCACAAGAAGCGCAUGUCCAGGAUGAUGGAGGACAAAGAAAACUUCUUGUCCAAAAUAACUGCUGCCCGUAGCUUCAUUUAUGAGG